rnacentral:misc_RNA from 1 species
GAUCCUUUUCACCUUAGCAGAUGCACAAACUUCCCCUAAUUUCAGUAUCAUUGGUGUUGUGAUGAUAUCUGGUGCUUUAAUCAUGGACUCCUUUCUUGGAAAUUUACAAGAAGCUAUCUUUACCAUGAAUCCUGAAACUACACAGAUGGAGAUGUUGUUUUGUUCAAGUGUAGUGGGUUUGCCUUUCUUGAUCCCUCCCAUGAUUUUCACCGGAGAGUUAUUCAGGGCUUGGAAUUCUUGUUCUCAGGUAAUAAUUAACAUAUUAAAAAACUGUGUGUUUUAUAUUAGUUUAAUGUGUAAUUUUUGUUAAUGCAGCAUCCAUACGUAUAUGGGGUGCUAGUGUUCGAAGCCAUGGCGACGUUUAUUGGGCAAGUGUCUGUCCUUUCUCUGAUUGCCCUUUUUGGUGCAGCCACCACAGCCAUGGUGACGACGGCGAGGAAGGCAGUGACAUUAUUACUAUCAUAUAUGAUAUUCACGAAGCCAUUAACAGAACAGCAUGGGACUGGACUUCUAUUGAUAGGAAUGGGGAUCACAUUGAAGCUUUUGCCCGAUAACAAGCCUGCGAAGCCCAAUUUUCACAAACCUUCCUCUUCCUCUUCCUCUACUGAAGAUAUUGAAGCUCGUCAAGAAGAGAAUAGGCCAUUAGUCUAAAUUUUAUAUUACUGUUCCUGCUUGUAGUUAGAGAUUUUCUACUACUUAUGACUAGUUUCAUUUGCAUGGAUGAUACAUUUCUUAAUCAUGGAAUUUUAUAAAUUUCUUUUAAAAGCGAUCCAGAAUUGAAAAAAAUAGUUUCCUCUUAAAUUAUGAAUCCUUAUUACUCUAAUUGAGG